GAUGAACGCUAGCGGCAGGCCUAACACAUGCAAGUCGAGGGGUAACAUAGAAAAGCUUGCUUUUCUGAUGACGACCGGCGCACGGGUGCGUAACGCGUAUACAACCUACCUUUUAGCGGGGAAUAGCCCAGGGAAACUUGGAUUAAUGCCCCAUAGUAUAUAGACUUCUCCUGAAGUUUAUAUUAAACAUUUAUGGCUAUUAGAUGGGUAUGCGUCCUAUUAGUUAGUUGGUAAGGUAACGGCUUACCAAGGCAGCGAUAGGUAGGGGUCCUGAGAGGGAGAUCCCCACACUGGUACUGAGACACGGACCAGACUCCUACGGGAGGCAGCAGUGAGGAAUAUUGGACAAUGGGCGAGAGCCUGAUCCAGCCAUGCCGCGUGCAGGAAGACUGCCCUAUGGGUUGUAAACUACUUUUACAGAGGAAGAACCACCCCCACGUGUGGGGGUUUGACGGUACUCUGCGAAUAAGGAUCGGCUAACUCCGUG
rnacentral:rRNA from 1 species